UACGUAAGGGGCGAGCGUUGUUCGGAAUUAUUGGGCGUAAAGGGCGCGUAGGCGGCUUGAUAAGUCAGUCGUGAAAGCCCGGGGCUCAACCCCGGAAGUGCGAUUGAAACUAUUUGGCUUGAGUAUGGUAGAGGGAAGUGGAAUUCCAGGUGUAGCGGUGAAAUGCGUAGAUAUCUGGAGGAACACCGGUGGCGAAGGCGACUUCCUGGACCAAUACUGACGCUGAUGCGCGAAGGUGUGGGUAGCAAACAGGAUUAGAUACCCUGGUAGUCCACACAGUAAACGGUGAUCACUAGGUGUUGCGGGUAUUGACCCCUGCAGUGCCGGAGCUAACGCAUUAAGUGAUCCGCCUGGGGAGUACGGUCGCAAGAUUAAA
rnacentral:rRNA from 1 species